rnacentral:tRNA from 1 species
UCCGUUGUGGUCUAGUGGCUAUGAUAUUGCGCUUUCAAGGCAAGCCUUGUAGGGUACCGCAAGGACCGGGGUUCGAUUCCCCGCAACGGAG